AUAAUUAUAAUAUAUUAAAUAAAUUAUAUAAUAUAAAUAUUUUUAGAGUUUAAGUAUUUAUUAUAAAAAUAAUAAUUUUAAAUUACCGGUUGGGUAAAUUAAAUGUGUUGAAGUAUAAAUUAUUUAGUACCUUUUGUAUCAGGGUGAGUUAACAUUAUUAUAUGUAUAUAUAUUUCCCUAAAUAAGAAGAAUUAAGAUGAUUUGAUAGUUAUUGUAACAUAAUUAUUAUUAAAAUCUUCUUGGUAAUGAAAUUUUAUCGAUUCUUAUGAUAUUUGGUUUCCUAAGAAUUAAAUUUAAUUUAGGAUUAUAAAGUAUUUUAAUAAUUUUUUUUAUUUUAUUAUUUAAUCUAAAAUUAAUUGGGAUAAGCUAAUUAAUUAAUCUAUAAUUAAUUAUGAUAUUAAUUUAAUAGGCUUGAAAACAGCUCUUUAUUAAUAAGUUAAAUUUAAAUUAUCAUUUUAAAUCAUAUUUAAUAUAAUUUAGAAUAUUUAUUAGGAAAUUUUUAUUAAUAAGUUAAAUAAAUAUAUAUUGAUUCAAUAAGUAAAAAAAAAAUUAAUAUGAAUCAUGAACUCGGCAAAUAUGAUUUUCGCCUGUUUAUCAAAAACAUGUCUUUUAGAUUAUAUUAAAAGUUUAGUCUGCCCAAUGAUAAUUGAAUGGCCGCGGUAUCCUAACCGUGCAAAGGUAGCAUAAUAAUUAGUCUUUUAAUUGAAGGCUUGCAUGAAUGAUUGGACGAAAAAUAAUCUUUAUUAUUUAUAUAAUUUGAAUUUAAUUUUUAAGUUAAAAAGCUUAAAUAUUAUUGCGGGACGAGAAGACCCUGUAGAGUUUUAUAUAUUUAAUAUUUAUUAAAUUUUGGAUGAUUACAUUAAAAUAAUUAUUUAAAUAUAUUUUGUUGGGGUGACAUUAAAAUAAAUUAACUUUUAAUUAAAAUAUCAUUAAUUAGUGAUAAUAGAUCUUAAAUAUAAAAUAUAAGAUUAAAUUACCUCAGGGAUAACAGCGUAAUUAAUUUGUAGAGUUCUUAUCGAUAAAUUAGUUUGCGACCUCGAUGUUGGAUUAAGAAAAGAAAAUAAAGCAGAAUUUAUUAUUCUAGGUCUGUUCGACCUUUAAAUUCUUACAUGAUCUGAGUUCAGACCGGUGUAAACCAGGUUGGUUUCUAUCUACAAUUAUUUUUUUAACAUUAGUACGAAAGGACCGUGUUAAAUAAUUAAAUUAU
rnacentral:rRNA from 1 species